UUUGAUCCUGGCUCAGAUUGAACGCUGGCGGCAGGCCUAACACAUGCAAGUCGAACGGUAACAUUUCUAGCUUGCUAGAAGAUGACGAGUGGCGGACGGGUGAGUAAUGCUUGGGAACUUGCCUUUGCGAGGGGGAUAACAGUUGGAAACGACUGCUAAUACCGCAUAAUGUCUUCGGACCAAACGGGGCUUCGGCUCCGGCGCAAAGAGAGGCCCAAGUGAGAUUAGCUAGUUGGUAAGGUAACGGCUUACCAAGGCGACGAUCUCUAGCUGUUCUGAGAGGAAGAUCAGCCACACUGGGACUGAGACACGGCCCAGACUCCUACGGGAGGCAGCAGUGGGGAAUAUUGCACAAUGGGGGAAACCCUGAUGCAGCCAUGCCGCGUGUGUGAAGAAGGCCUUCGGGUUGUAAAGCACUUUCAGUUGUGAGGAAAAGUUAGUAGUUAAUACC
rnacentral:rRNA from 2 species